UACAAAAAUCAGUUGGUGUGGUGUCA
rnacentral:piRNA from 1 species